CCCACUCCACUCACGUAUCUGAUUUCCUAGAUGCUUGGAAUUGCUUUGGGGAGGUGUCUCGUUAUAGUGAUGCCCCCCAGAAAUUGAUAGGGCAGUAUGGUUUGCACCUGAACUAGACGUAAUAAUAAUAAAAUCGUUUGUUUAGGUAUAAUUGUGCUUGCCUUAACCCACCCAUUUUUCUUUAAUCUUU
rnacentral:misc_RNA from 1 species